rnacentral:rRNA from 1 species
UACGUAGGGUGCGAGCGUUAAUCGGAAUUACUGGGCGUAAAGCGCACGUAGGCGGUCUUUUAAGUCGGGGGUGAAAUCCUGGAGCUCAACUCCAGAACUGCCUUCGAUACUGGAAGACUCGAGUCCGGGAGAGGUGAGUGGAAUUCCGAGUGUAGAGGUGAAAUUCGUAGAUAUUCGGAAGAACACCAGUGGCGAAGGCGGCUCACUGGACCGGCAUUGACGCUGAGGUGCGAAAGCGUGGGGAGUAAACAGG